rnacentral:pre_miRNA from 1 species
CGACGGGGGCGGGCCUGUGCAUCUCUCACGCGCCCCGCCGUCUCCUUUUGCGAGAUGGUGCACUCGCAGAAGUCAAGCAUCGCCUUCCACGA